rnacentral:rRNA from 1 species
CAUGCAAGUCGAGGGGCAGCAUGAUUGAAGCUUGCUUCAAUUGAUGGCGACCGGCGCACGGGUGAGUAACGCGUAUCCAACCUUCCGCUUACUCGGGGAUAGCCUUUCGAAAGAAAGAUUAAUACCCGAUGGUAUGAUGAGAUUGCAUGAUAGCAUCAUUAAAGAUUUAUUGGUAAGCGAUGGGGAUGCGUUCCAUUAGGUAGUAGGCGGGGUAACGGCCCACCUAGCCGACGAUGGAUAGGGGUUCUGAGAGGAAGGUCCCCCGCAUUGGAACUGAGACACGGUCCAAACUCCUACGGGAGGCAGCAGUGAGGAAUAUUGGUCAAUGGACGAGAGUCUGAACCAGCCAAGUAGCGUGAAGGAUGAAGGUCCUACGGAUUGUAAACUUCUUUUAUAAGGGAAUAAAACCUCCCACGUGUGGGAGCUUGUAUGUACCUUAUGAAUAAGCAUCGGCUAACUCCGUGCCAGCAGCCGCGGUAAUACGGAGGAUGCGAGCGUUAUCCGGAUUUAUUGGGUUUAAAGGGAGCGCAGACGGGUCGUUAAGUCAGCUGUGAAAGUUUGGGGCUCAACCUUAAAAUUGCAGUUGAUACUGGCGUCCUUGAGUGCGGUUGAGGUGUGCGGAAUUCGUGGUGUAGCGGUGAAAUGCUUAGAUAUCACGAAGAACUCCGAUUGCGAAGGCAGCACACUAAGCCGUAACUGACGUUCAUGCUCGAAAGUGUGGGUAUCAAACAGGAUUAGAUACCCUGGUAGUCCACACGGUAAACGAUGGAUACUCGCUGUUGGCGAUAUACGGUCAGCGGCUUAGCGAAAGCGUUAAGUAUCCC